rnacentral:rRNA from 1 species
CAGUCGCCACGGGAAUACGUAGGGUGCAAGCGUUAAUCGGAAUUACUGGGCGCAAAGCGUGCGCAGGCGGUUCGUUAAGACAGAUGUGAAAUCCCCGGGCUUAACCUGGGAACUGCAUUUGUGACUGGCGGGCUGGAGUAUGGCAGAGGGGGGUAGAAUUCCACGUGUAGCAGUGAAAUGCGUAGAGAUGUGGAGGAAUACCGAUGGCGAAGGCAGCCCCCUGGGCCAAUACUGACGCCCAUGCACGAAAGCGUGGGGAGCAAACAGGAUUAGAUACCCCCGUAGUCCCUGUCUCUUAUAC